rnacentral:rRNA from 1 species
CCACCACCAAAGCAUUCUCUGGUGUUGAAGGCCCUGCAAAGCAGCAUCGCGGUGGCGGAGCGUCGUUUGCGACGCCCAACACACAAAACAAGCGGUGAAUGCUUUGGGGUGGGGUGACUGCGUACCUUUUGUAUAAUGGGUCAGCGACUUAUAUUCUGUAGCAAGGUUAACCGAAUAGGGGAGCCGGAGGGAAACCGAGUCUUAAUUGGGCGUUAAGUUGCAGGGUAUAGACCCGAAACCCGGUGAUCUAGCCAUGGGCAGGUUGAAGGUUGGGUAACACUAACUGGAGGACCGAACCGACUAAUGUUGAAAAAUUAGCGGAUGACCUGUGGCUGGGGGUGAAAGGCCAAUCAAACCGGGAGAUAGCUGGUUCUCCCCGAAAGCUAUUUAGGUAGCGCCUCGUGAAUUCAUCUCCGGGGGUAGAGCACUGUUUCGGCUAGGGGGCCAUCCCGGCUUACCAACCCGAUGCAAACUGCGAAUACCGGAGAAUGUUAUCACGGGAGACACACGGCGGGUGCUAACGUCCGUCGUGAAGAGGGAAACAACCCAGACCGCCAGCUAAGGUCCCAAAGUCAUGGUUAAGUGGGAAACGAUGUGGGAAGGCCCAGACAGCCAGGAUGUUGGCUUAGAAGCAGCCAUCAUUUAAAGAAAGCGUAAUAGCUCACUGGUCGAGUCGGCCUGCGCGGAAGAUGUAACGGGGCUAAACCAUGCACCGAAGCUGCGGCAGCGAACGUAUCACCCAAGACAACUUUACGGAGUUGACGAUUGACGGAGCGAAGCGACGUCAAAGCGUUCAUUAAAGUCGAGUUGGCUUAGGGAUACGUUCGUUGGGUAGGGGAGCGUUCUGUAAGCCUGUGAAGGUGUGUCGUGAGGCAUGCUGGAGGUAUCAGAAGUGCGAAUGCUGACAUAAGUAACGAUAAAGCGGGUGAAAAGCCCGCUCGCCGGAAGACCAAGGGUUCCUGUCCAACGUUAAUCGGGGCAGGGUGAGUCGACCCCUAAGGCGAGGCCGAAAGGCGUAGUCGAUGGGAAACGGGUUAAUAUUCCCGUACUUGGUGUUACUGCGAAGGGGGGACGGAGAAGGCUAUGUUGGCCGGGCGACGGUUGUCCCGGUUUAAGCGUGUAGGUGUGUGUUCCAGGUAAAUCCGGUUCACUUUAACACUGAGGCGUGACGACGAGGCACUACGGUGCUGAAGCAACAAAUGCCCUGCUUCCAGGAAAAGCCUCUAAGCAUCAGGUAACAUCAAAUCGUACCCCAAACCGACACAGGUGGUCAGGUAGAGAAUACCAAGGCGCUUGAGAGAACUCGGGUGAAGGAACUAGGCAAAAUGGUGCCGUAACUUCGGGAGAAGGCACGCUGACACGUAGGUGAAGUGAUUUACUCAUGGAGCUGAAGUCAGUCGAAGAUACCAGCUGGCUGCAACUGUUUAUUAAAAACACAGCACUGUGCAAACACGAAAGUGGACGUAUACGGUGUGACGCCUGCCCGGUGCCGGAAGGUUAAUUGAUGGGGUCAGCGCAAGCGAAGCUCCUGAUCGAAGCCCCGGUAAACGGCGGCCGUAACUAUAACGGUCCUAAGGUAGCGAAAUUCCUUGUCGGGUAAGUUCCGACCUGCACGAAUGGCGUAAUGAUGGCCAGGCUGUCUCCACCCGAGACUCAGUGAAAUUGAACUCGCUGUGAAGAUGCAGUGUACCCGCGGCAAGACGGAAAGACCCCGUGAACCUUUACUAUAGCUUGACACUGAACAUUGAGCCUUGAUGUGUAGGAUAGGUGGGAGGCUUUGAAGUGUGGACGCCAGUCUGCAUGGAGCCGACCUUGAAAUACCACCCUUUAAUGUUUGAUGUUCUAACGUGGACCCGUAAUCCGGGUUGCGGACAGUGUCUGGUGGGUAGUUUGACUGGGGCGGUCUCCUCCUAAAGAGUAACGGAGGAGCACGAAGGUUGGCUAAUCCUGGUCGGACAUCAGGAGGUUAGUGCAAUGGCAUAAGCCAGCUUGACUGCGAGCGUGACGGCGCGAGCAGGUGCGAAAGCAGGUCAUAGUGAUCCGGUGGUUCUGAAUGGAAGGGCCAUCGCUCAACGGAUAAAAGGUACUCCGGGGAUAACAGGCUGAUACCGCCCAAGAGUUCAUAUCGACGGCGGUGUUUGGCACCUCGAUGUCGGCUCAUCACAUCCUGGGGCUGAAGUAGGUCCCAAGGGUAUGGCUGUUCGCCAUUUAAAGUGGUACGCGAGCUGGGUUUAGAACGUCGUGAGACAGUUCGGUCCCUAUCUGCCGUGGGCGCUGGAGAACUGAGGGGGGCUGCUCCUAGUACGAGAGGACCGGAGUGGACGCAUCACUGGUGUUCGGGUUGUCAUGCCAAUGGCACUGCCCGGUAGCUAAAUGCGGAAGAGAUAAGUGCUGAAAGCAUCUAAGCACGAAACUUGCCCCGAGAUGAGUUCUCCCUGAGACUUAGAGUCUCCUGAAGGAACGUUGAAGACGACGACGUUGAUAGGCCGGGUGUGUAAGCGCAGCGAUGCGUUGAGCUAACCGGUACUAAUGAACCGUGAGGCUUAACCUUACA